rnacentral:rRNA from 1 species
UACGUNCCAGCAGCCGCGGUAAUACGUAGGGUGCGAGCGUUAAUNGGAAUUACUGGGCGUAAAGCGAGCGCAGACGGUUACUUAAGCAGGAUGUGAANUCCCCGGGCUCAACCUGGGAACUGCGUUNUGAGCUGGGUAGCUAGAGUAUGUCAGAGGGGGGUAGAAUUNCACGUGUAGCAGUGAAAUGCGUAGAGAUGUGGAGGAAUACCGAUGGCGAAGGCAGCCCCCUGGGAUAAUACUGACGUUCAUGCUCGAAAGCGUGGGUAGCAAACAGGAUUAGAUACCCUGGUAGUCCACGCCCUAAACGAUGUCGAUUAGCUGUUGGGCAGCUUGACUGCUUAGUAGCGUAGCUAACGCGUGAAAUCGACCGCCUGGGGAGUACGGUCGCAAGAUUAAAACUCAAAGGAAUUGACGGGGACCCGCACAAGCGGUGGAUGAUGUGGAUUAAUUCGAUGCAACGCGAAGAACCUUACCUGGUCUUGACAUGUAGGGAACCUUCCAGAGACGGAAGGGUGCCUUCGGGAGCCGUAACACAGGUGCUGCAUGGCUGUCGUCAGCUCGUGUCGUGAGAUGUUGGGUUAAGUCCCGCAACGAGCGCAACCCUUGUCAUUAGUUGCCAUCAUUCAGUUGGGCACUCUAAUGGGACUGCCGGUGACAAACCGGAGGAAGGUGGGGAUGACGUCAAGUCCUCAUGGCCCUUAUGACCAGGGCUUCACACGUCAUACAAUGGUCGGUACAAAGGGUAGCCAAGCCGCGAGGCGGAGCCAAUCUCAUAAAACCGAUCGUAGUCCGGAUUGCACUCUGCAACUCGAGUGCAUGAAGUCGGAAUCGCUAGUAAUCGCAGGUCAGCAUACUGCGGUGAAUACGUUCCCGGGUCUUGUACACACCGCCCGUCACACCAUGGGAGUGGGGGAUACCAGAAGUAGGUAGGGUAACCGCAAGGAGC